UAAACUUAGUUACAUUAGGAUGAUCAAGCAUGUGCCACACAGCGACUUCUUGAGUAAAAGCUGCUCUAAGUGAAGCUAUUUCAGCCUCUGACUUGUGACCCUCCUCCCCCCAAUCAAGAAGUUUAACAGCAACAUCUUGGCCAUCAUAAAUGCCACGGUGAACGGUGCCAAAGGUGCCACGAGCUAUAACACCUUUGAUGAUGAGCUUAGAUGGGGCAAUCUCCCAUUCUUGCCUUGUUAUAGUGUUGUUUAGAGGACUUUGCACUACUGUUUCUCCUUCUUCUCCAUCUUUCUUGUUCU
rnacentral:misc_RNA from 1 species